CUCCUCCUGCUCGCGCAGCCGCCGCGCGGCCUCCUGCUCCCGGCGCACCGGAGCCAGGUAGGCCUGGGAGGCGCCCGCCGAAGUCACCGCCCACUCCGCGCCACCGCCCCGAGCCCCGAGGCCACGGUCCACGCCUCUGAGGUCGGAGCCCGAUCUGAGCCUCACCCCCACCACGCACCCUGCUUCGCCAUUUCCUCCCCCUGCCUCCUGCCUGGCCCCCGGCUGUUGCGGCUGCCCGUCCUCACCUCCUUCUGCGGCGUCUCCAUCUGCUCCAGGUACUCCCGGCGCUCCUCCCGGCGGCGGGCGAGCUCCCUCCUGGCCCGGAGCUGCCGGAAGGCGCCCUGGAUCGCUCUGGCCGCUCGGUCCUCGGCCGGCCCUGGGGUGGGGAGAGGCUCACGGGGGCGCGUUCUCGCCUCCAGCCACGCCUGCUGCGCCCCUGGGAGUGGAGCCGGCCCCGCCCCCGCCCCCGCCCCGACAGAAGGACCCAAACGGCUCUCAAAGCCCCCAGCGCGGCCGAGCCGGGGUUCCCGCCCGCAGAGGCCGCACGAGGAGGCUGCGCGAGAGCCCGGGACGCGGAGAGGACCCAGGUCUGCGGGAACCUCCCCCGCCCCACGCCGCCGGGGAUCCUGCGAGCCCCGCCGAGCCCGCAGCUCGGGAGCCCCGAGGAACGGUGAGGAAGGGGUGCUGUCCCCCGCGGGACACCCUUCCCUGAAAGCCGAAGGCCCCUCCUGCAUCCAGGCCCCAGCGAGCGAAGGCUGGACUGAGCGGGGGGGCCCCAGGCCUGGGAGGGCUCAUCACAGCCCCGCUGGACUCAGAAGAGGGCGCGGAGCCCAGGGCCCCAGAGGGAGCUCUGUCCUCUCCGGCUCGGCCUCGCCCUCGCCCCACCGCGGCUGCAACGGAGCGCUGAGCCCGAGCCUGGAGCCGCCUCGCAGUGAGGAGGGGGCGGAGGAGAGGGCGUCGGGCUCAGCGCUGCCCUGACUGGCCUGGGGAAGUCCGGGCACCACUCAGCCUCCCCGGCCUGAGCCCCUUGCUCUAACGUGGAACGAUACCUGCAGCUUUCUAAGAGUCCAGCAAUGGGGCGCUUGUGGCGCUUCCGCCACAGUGAACGCUCAGCGUGCGCCCCGUGGGUGUGACUUGUGCCAGGGCACGGGUGGCCAGGCGAGGCUGUCGGGCCACGCGGGUACCCAGCAGGGAGCCACGGGAGCGCAGGCCAGAAGCAAGCAGGCAGCGCAGCUGGGUCUCCACAGGUGCGCCCGCUGGGGAGCCAAGUACUAUGAUUCCCACAACCAAGCUCCCAGGGAGCAUGGGCAGAAUGGCGGGAUGAGGCGAGACUGGGAGACGCGGAAGACCCUGCAGGCCCAGGGCACGGACCGGAGCAGCCAGCGGGGGCAGGGUGGAGAGCUGAGCCCAUGUGGGAAAAUCACAGCGAAGGAGAAUAAAGGGAGAGGCGCCGUCAGGAGGGCGGGACCCCGAGUGGCAGUGGACAGAGAUAAUACAGUCAUAAGAAUAACGUGCGUCUAGGAUGCAGAGACUGACAAUGCAAGCAAAGAGCAAACACUCAAGAUAAAACCCAGGAAAUCCUGAAAUGAAUCUUAAGACAAAAGGGGGAAAAAUCCCAGAAAACAAAGGGCAUGAACAACAGGCAUCAGACACAAUUCGCUGAAGUUAAGCCUCAAAACAAAAUGUUUUUCAAGCACCCGAGGAGAAAGAGCAAAGCACCUAUGACAGGAAAGUCCGGCUCUCCUGAGGCUUUUUUCUUUUUGAGACAGGGUCUCACUCUGUCACCCAGGAUGCAGCACAGUGGCACAAUCUCUGCUCACUGCUGCUUCCACUUCCCCGGUUCCGGCAAUCCUCCCACCUCAGCCUCCGAGUAGCUGGGACCACAGGCACACGCCUGUGCACCACGGCCACCUCCGAAGGCUUUUUACAGAAACACUAAAUGUUAGAAGAAAAUGAAGCAGUGUCCACAAAAUUCUGCAGGGAAAACAGUAGGCCAGGAAGAGUAUUUGGUUCUGCAGCACAGAUGGCAGGGCAGGAGGUGCAGCCUUCCCAGUGACAGCAAGAGAGAAGACAGACGAAAUCAAAGUGUUUUUUAAACAAGUGUCUGACGGCAUUCAAAGCUACUGAGGAAAUGAAGAACGAGGUCUCCAAAACAGUGCAGCAGGGUGGUCCCAACACCAGGCAGGUGGGCCUGGCCUGGCCCAGAGCAAAGGGUCAGCUGCUCAGCAGAGGACGGGCCAAGGGACAGACCUGCAUUUAGAGCACUGGGUAUGGCUUGGGUUUAGGGUUGCCAGAUUUAGCUAAUAAACAGGAUGCAAUUUGGGGGACAUACACUAAGUAAAUUAUUCCUGUUUAUCUGAAAUUCAAAUUUAGGCCAAGCGCAGUGGCCUUGUAAUCCCAGCACAUUGGGAGGCUGAGAUGGGAGGAUUGCUUGAGCCCAGGAGUUUGAGGCCAGCCUGGACAACGUGGUGAGACCCUGUCUCUCUUUAAAAAAAUAUAUAUAGGGCCAAGUGCAAUGGCUCACAUCUGUAAUCCCAACACUUUGGGAGGCUAAGGUGGGAGGACCACUUGAGCCCAGAAGUUCAAGACCAGCCUGGGCCACGUAGGGAGACCCCUGUCUCUACAAAUAACUAAAAAUUAGCUGGGUGCAGUGGCGUGCAUCUGUAGUCCCGGUUACUCAGGAGGCUGAGAUGGGAAGAUGGCUUGAGCCCAGGUCAAUGCUGCAGUGAGCCAUGAUCAUGCCACUGCACUCCAGCCUGGACAACAGAGCGAGACCCUGUCUCAGUAAAAUAUAUAUAUUUUUAUAUUAUACAUAUAGAAUAUGUAUAUAUGAGAAAUUCAAAUUUAAAUGGAUGUCCCGGAUUUUGGGAGCCCUGUUUCAUCUGGUAGCCCUAUUUGGGUCAGAAUCACAACCUUCACGAAAUAAAAUAACCCUGAUGGUAACAGGGGCCCAGCUCCAAAGAGUGACAGCAAACAGUCAAAGUCAUCUUCAUUUGCAGAUGAUGCACAUAAAAAUCCAGAAGAACUCAUCACAAAUGAUUAUCAUCAAUAAGCAAUCUUGGGAAGGUUCUGAAUAUAACCUCAUACUCACAAAGUGUAUUUCUGUACACAAGCAGCAACAGAAAAAUUUAAUAUAUUUAGCAUCAAAAAACUAUCAUAUACUUGGAUUAAGCCCACAAAAUAAACGUCAGUGAGUCCACAGUGAUACAAAUAAAGGAUUAAAAACACACUAGAGGGAGUGGAGGGAAAGUAGAAUCCCAUCAAUGGGUGUAGGAGGGGGCAGGGAAGGAGCAGAUUCCCAUCGGGCACACAAGAAGUGCAGCGGCUGCAGCUGACAGCCACCGACGUAUGUCCGCCGGCGCACGUUUCAGUGGGCAGGGGUUUGAAGAGAAGCAGAAUUUCUCUUGUCUCAAUAUAUCUCUUCCAAGAUAAGUAUCAACCACGAAAGGAAAACAUAGUACAUUUACAAAGGAGAAACCUGGCGGAAACCCCCCCACUAAGUGAUCGAGGGCAACGUCACAAGCAGUGAGACAUUCGCGGAAACCCUCCUACUAAGUGAUCGAGGGCAACGUCACAAGCGGUGAGACGUUCCCGCACCGUAAGCCCCAUGACAUGAUGUACGUCAAAAACACAACAUCAUUUCUGCUUUAUUUUAUUUUUAAUUUUUAGAAACAGAGCCUCAGCCGGACACAGUGGCUCACACCUGUAACCCCAGCACUUUGGGAGUCCGAGGCAGGUGGGUCACCUGAUGUCAGGAGUUUGAGACCAACCUGGCCGACAUGGUGAAACCCCGUCUCUACUAAAAGUACAAAAAUUAGCUGGGUGUGGUGGCGGCGCCUGUAAUCCAGCUACAGGGGAGGCUGAGGCAGGAAGAAUCACUUGAACCCGGGAGGAGGAGCUUGCAGUGAGCCAAGAUUGAGCCACUGCACUCCAGCCUGGGCGACAGAGCGAGACUCUGUCUCACAAAAAAAAAAAAAAAAAAAAAAGGUCUCGCUCCAUCGUCCAGGCUGGAGUGCAGUGGCUCCAUCUUGGCUCACUGCAAGCUCCGCCUCCCGGGUUCACGCCAUUCUCCUGCCUCAGCCUCCUGAGUAGCCAAGACCACAGGUAUACACCACCACACUCAGAUUCAUUCUUCAAAAGUGUCAAGGUCGUGAAAGAAAAGUCAUGACUAUAGGAACAGUUACAGACUACAGGUAACUAUGCAGAAACAGCAAAUAAAUGCAAUAUGGCAUCCUGGAAAAACUGGUGAAAUUUGAGAAGGUCUUUAGUUAAUGGUUUUAUGCUAGUGUUGAUUUCCUGGUUCUGUUCCUUGUACUGUCUCUAUGUAAGAUGUUAAUCUUAGAGGAAGCUGGGUAAGUUACACAUCUAUGGAAAAUCCCCAUACUAAUUCUGUUACUUUUCUGCAAGACCAAAACUACUUGAAAAUAAAAAAGUAAACAAUUGUCAAAUACUAGGAUUAAAUCUGACAAAGAUACACACAAGAUCUCUAUACACAUGAGCAAACACACACACACACACUCAUAAAACAUUUCUGAAGAGCACUAAGACAAAACAGAAAACAAAAGGAGAGAUAUACCAUAUUCAUAGAUUGAGUGGACACUGCUGUAGAGGUGAUACUCUCCGCACAUUGAGCUAUAGGUUCAACGAAAUCCUAAUGAAGUUCACCCAGCAGGGCUGUUUUGCUUUGUUUGUGUGAAAAUUGACCACGUGAUUCUGGAAUGUAUCUGCGAAAGAGCCAAGAAUGGCAAAUAAUUCAAAGAAGAAUUCGGUGAGAGGACUUGCUUUUCUUGAUAUUAGGACCUCAUGUCGGUGAAGACAGUGCGAUGUUCUCACACGGAGACCAGUGGCCGUGGGUUCAGAAACAGCCCCCGGGCAUAUGGGCACUUCCUGGCCAGGGGGCCUACAGAGCCGUGGGAAAGAAUAGAGAUUUCAGUCAGUGGUGGGGUCCAAUCAGAAACCCGUAUGAGGAGAGGGAGGACAGGUGUCUGCUACUUUACCCCAUUCACAACAGGCAAUUCCAGAUGGACUGGUGAUCGCACCGGAAGGCAAAACCAUAAAGCUCGUUGAAGAUCACAUGGGAGAACAGCUUCAGGAACUUGGAGUUGGAAAGAUUUAUUUCAGAGACCACCACAAAAAAUACCCAAAAGAAAACAUGUUAAAAUCAGUACGUUCUUUUUUUUUUCUUUUUUUCGUGAGACAGAAUCUCGCACCGUCACGUAGGCUGGAGUGCAGUGACUCGAUCCUGGCUCACUGCAACCUCCACCUCCCGGGUUCAAGCGAUUCUCCUGCCUCAGCCUCCCAGGUAGCUGGGAUUACAAGUGCCCACCACCACGCCUGGCUAAUUUUUGUAUUUUUAGUAGAGAUGGGGUUUCACCAUGUUGGCCAGGCUGGUCUUGAACUCCUGACCUCAGGUGAUCCACCCACCUCAGCCUCCCAAAGUGCUGAGAUUACAGGCAUGAGCCACCAUGCCCAGCAAAAAUCAGUUAGUUCUAUUCACGAGAAGACACCAUUGAAAGUAAAAAUGCCAGUGAGUGGGAGAAGGUAUUUGCAAUCCAUGUAACUGACAAAAGGUUUGUAUUCCGAAUAUAUUGGGAAAUACUACAAAGCCGUAAGAAAAAAGGCAGCAGCACAAUAGAGAACUAGUAACAUACCUGAAUGCACACAAGAGCCUACCCAGGUGGCCAAUAAAUAUAUGGAAAUGUGAUGAAUCUCAUUAGUCACCAGGGAAAUCCAAUCUAAAACCUCACCUAAUACCACGCACACCGGCUAGAGAGAGGCUGCUACUACCCACGGGAGGCUUGCAGAACACCGGUCCCUACACUGCUGUGGGGAGGGAAAUCAGAACACCCACGUCAGCAGACGGCUUGGCACACCUGUGCCUUAGCAACCUUUCUCCCAGGUGUGUGCCCCCAAAAAUGCAUGGAUGUGUGCACCAGGAGACACGUGCAAGAAAAUCCAUGCUAGUGUUAUUUUUAAAACCAAAAUCUACAAAUAAUCCAAAUGUCUACCAGCAGUAGAAUGAAUCAGUAAUGUUAUAUGCACAUAACAGACACCUAAACAGCCAUGAACAUGAACCACAGCUACAUAAAACAAAGGAUGACUUUUAAAAUAUGUACUUUAUAUACCACAAAGGAAAAGACGACUAAAGCAUGUCAAAAUGUAAAACUUCUGCUUAUCUAAAAAUAACAUACCAAAAGUGAAAAACCAUAUAAAUUUGGAAAAGAAAUUUGCAACACAUAAACCUGUUAAAGAACUUCUGCAUAUGUCAAAGAAACAGGUAAGUAAUCCAUAGAGCAAUGGGCAGAGAGAUGAACAGGCAUUUCCCAGAAGAGGAAAAUGGAUUGGCUAAUAAACCUUUGAAAACACAUUCCAUGAAAUGCAAACUAAAAUUACCAUGGAGGCUCAUUUUAUAUCCAGUAAUUUUGCAAAAUGUAAAGAUAGACAUUCUCAGAUUGGGUGAGGAUGA
rnacentral:lncRNA from 1 species